UUUAAUUAUUCUCAUAUUGAUAACGUGGUGAAGAAAAUAUUAAAAUCAUUUGAAUAUAAAACUUAAUAUAUUGGAAAGCUUUUUUUUACAACUUCUUAUGCUUAAAUGUAUAUGAAAGUUUAUUAUGUAUUUAUAUAAAUAUGAUUAUAAAAUUUUUUUAAAGGUAUUUUAAGUAAGUUAUAAAAUCUUACAAUUUUACGAUACGAUUUCACAACCCCUUCACUAAUUCUAGGUUAGAAAAGCGAGUUUGA
rnacentral:misc_RNA from 1 species